rnacentral:ncRNA from 1 species
UUUAAAAUGUCAAAUGAAAUAAUAAAUAAUAAAACACUUGAAUAAUUUUGAACGAAAGGGAAUACGGUUCCAAUUCCGUAACCUGUUGAGUAUCCGUUUGUUAUUAAAUAUGGGCCUCGUGCUCAUCCUGGCAACAGGAACGACCAUAAAGAAGCCGUCGAGAGGUAUCGGAAGAGUUUUCUUUUCUGUUUUAUAGCCGUACUACCAUGGAAGUCUUUCGCAGAGAGAUAUGGUAGAUGGGCUAGAAGAGCAUGACAUAUACUGUUGUGUCGAUAUUUUCUCCUCGGACCUUGAAAAUUUAUGGUGGGGAUACGCAAACUUCUCAACAGGCCGUACCAAUAUCCGCAGCUGGUCUCCAAGGUGAAGAGUCUCUAGUCGAUAGAAUAAUGUAGGUAAGGGAAGUCGGCAAAUUAGAUCCGUAACUUCGGGAUAAGGAUUGGCUCUGAAGAUUGAGAUAGUCGGGCUUGAUUGGGAAACAAUAACAUGGUUUAUGUGCUCGUUCUGGGUAAAUAGAGUUUCUAUCAUUUAUGAUAGUUAUUUGUUCCCCGGAUAGUUAGUUACGUAGCCAAUUGUGGAACUUUCUUGCUAAAAUUUUUAAGAAUACUAAUUUUUAAUUAGUUCUUUUAAAUUAUAACGAUUAUCAAUUAACAAUCAAUUCAGAACUGGCACGGACUUGGGGAAUCCGACUGUCUAAUUAAAACAAAGCAUUGUGAUGGCCCUAGCGGGUGUUGACACAAUGUGAUUUCUGCCCAGUGCUCUGAAUGUCAAAGUGAAGAAAUUCAAGUAAGCGCGGGUCAAAACAAGUAAUGACGAAUCCCAGCACAUGCUCUUGCGAUAAUACAAGAUUCCGUAUGGAACAUUCGCUUGAGACGGUUUGGUCAGCGAUAACGCCACGCGACCUGA